AUUCCAGCUCCAAUAGCGUAUAUUAAAGUUGUUGCGGUUAAAAAGCUCGUAGUUGGAUUUCUGCUGAGGACGACCGGUCCGCCCUCUGGGUGAGUAUCUGGCUUGGCCUUGGCAUCUUCUUGGAGAACGUAGCUGCACUUGACUGUGUGGUGCGGUAUCCAGGACUUUUACUUUGAGGAAAUUAGAGUGUUUCAAGCAGGCACACGCCUUGAAUACAUUAGCAUGGAAUAAUAAGAUAGGACCUUGGUUCUAUUUUGUUGGUUUCUAGAGCUGAGGUAAUGAUUAAUAGGGAUAGUUGGGGGCAUUAGUAUUUAUUAGCUAGAGGUGGAAUUCUCUAAUUUGAUAAAGACUAACUUAUGCGAAAGCAUUUGCCAAGGAUGUUUUCAUCG
rnacentral:rRNA from 1 species